rnacentral:rRNA from 1 species
CAGCAGUGGGGAAUUUUGGACAAUGGGGGAAACCCUGAUCCAGCCAUCCCGCGUGUGCGAUGAAGGCCUUCGGGUUGUAAAGCACUUCUGGCAGGAAAGAAACGUCAUGGGUUAAUACCCCGCGAAACUGACGGUACCUGCAGAAUAAGCACCGGCUAACUACGUGCCAGCAGCCGCGGUAAUACGUAGGGUGCAAGCGUUAAUCGGAAUUACUGGGCGUAAAGCGUGCGCAGGCGGUUCGGAAAGAAAGAUGUGAAAUCCCAGAGCUUAACUUUGGAACUGCAUUUUUAACUACCGAGCUAGAGUGUGUCAGAGGGAGGUGGAAUUCCGCGUGUAGCAGUGAAAUGCGUAGAUAUGCGGAGGAACACCGAUGGCGAAGGCAGCCUCCUGGGAUAACACUGACGCUCAUGCACGAAAGCGUGGGGAGCAAACAGGAUUAGAUACCCUGGCAGUCCACGCCCUAAACGAUGUCAACUAGCUGUUGGGGCCUUCGGGCCUUGGUAGCGCAGCUAACGCGUGAAGUUGACCGCCUGGGGAGUACGGUCGCAAGAUUAAAACUCAAAGGAAUUGACGG